UGGGGAAUAUUGGACAAUGCGGGAAACCGUGAUCCAGCAAUGCCGCGUGAGUGAUGAAGGCCUUAGGGUUGUAAAGCUCUUUUACCAGGGAUGAUAAUGACAGUACCUGGAGAAUAAGCUCCGGCUAACUCCGUGCCAGCAGCCGCGGUAAUACGGAGGGAGCUAGCGUUGUUCGGAAUUACUGGGCGUAAAGCGCGCGUAGGCGGCUAUUUAAGUCAGGGGUGAAAUCCCGGGGCUCAACCCCGGAACUGCCUUUGAAACUGGAUAGCUAGAAUACUGGAGAGGUGAGUGGAAUUCCGAGUGUAGAGGUGAAAUUCGUAGAUAUUCGGAAGAACACCAGUGGCGAAGGCGACUCACUGGACAGUUAUUGACGCUGAGGUGCGAAAGCGUGGGGAGCAAACAGGAUUAGAUACCCCCGUAGUCC
rnacentral:rRNA from 1 species